ACGGGGCCGCCUGGAGAGGUGCUGGGAGCUGGGUGGAGCUUAGAGGAAUUAAACUUUGGCCCUGCGCCUCGUCCAGCCUAGGUUCCACCCUUUUCUGGGAACAAUGAAUCUCGCUGUGUUGUCCAGGCUGGAGUGCAGUGGCACCAUCUCGGCUCACUGCAACCUCUGGCUCCCAGGUUCAAGCGAUUCUCCUGCCUCAGCCCCCUGAGUAGCUGGGAUUACAGGCACGCGCCACCACUCCCAGGCUCCGGUAGAUUGCAAAUGACCUGCUUUCUUUCUGUUCCCGGGCGUUUGGACCCCUGUCUUGGACCGCUGUCGGAUAGUAAAUCCCAAGUAAGGUACCUGCCGUCGGCAGAUUUGAGCUUUCUUCUUGGACACCUAAUACCCAGAGUCCUCCAGGCUCCGGUAGAUUGCAAAUGACCUGCUUUCUUUCUGUUCCCGGGCGGCAUCGGACCCGUCGGAGAGUAAAUCCCAAGUAAGGUACCUGCCGUUGGCAGAUUUGAGCUUUCUUCUUGGACACCUAAUACCCACAGUCCUCCAGGCUCCGGUAGAUUGCAAAUGACCUGCUUUCUUUCUGUUCCCGGGUGGCAUCGACCCGUCGGAGAGUAAAUCCCAAGUAAGGUACCUGCCGUUGGCAGAUUUGAGCUUUCUUCUUGGACACCUAAUACCCACAGUCCUCCAGGUGAGUCCUAAGGAUCUUAGGAUACGCGAUGGGGGUCCUAAGGCAGGGGGGGAAGAGGGGAUGGCUGUCACCCAACCCAAAAUGGGCGGCCUUUAUGUUCAGGUUUUGCCCAAGAGUCAGCUUAUUUGCUUCUUGUACUAUCAGGGCAGUUGAUGCCACGGCCCUCAAACAUGAGGGGCCAUCCUUUAGAAACCCUCUCUAGUUGUUUAGACAACUAGGCCACCGGCCUCAGCCAGGGCCCCAGAGUUUCGGUUAAAAGUCCAGCUGCCAUCUUUUCUCUAUCUGACGCAUUCAAUGGAAAAGGCUUUGUCAGAUCGGGUAGCCCCAGGGCUGGGGCUGCCAGAAGUUUUUCCUUUAACUCCUGAAAGACUUUUUGUUCUUGGGAUCCCCAUUCCAAAGGUUCCGUUCCCCGCCCCCUUUGUGACCUCAUACAAAGGCUUGGCUAAUACUGCAAAGUUUGGGAUCCAGUCUACAAAACCCCACAGCUCCCAAGAAUUCCCUUACCUGCCUUCUGCCCUUAGGCUCCGGUAGAUUGUAAAUAACCUGCUUUCUUUCUGUUCCCGGGCUGCGUUCGGACCCCUGUCGGAUAGUAAAUCCCAAGCAAGGUACCUGCCGUCAGCAGAUUUGAGCUUUCUUCUUGGACACCUAAUACCCACAGUCCUCCAGGCUCCGGUAGAUUGCAAAUGACCUGCUUUCUUUCUGUUCCCGGGCUGCGUUCGGACCCCUGUCGGAUAGUAACUCCCAAGUAAGGUACCUGCCGUCGGCAGAUUGGAGCUUUCUUCUUGGAGACCUAAUACCCACAGUCCUCCAGAAAAACAAACAAAGACAUGGAUUUACUGUGCAUAUUAGCAGAUCCAUACUGGAAAAUGCAUGGAGGUUUCAUAUACACCACUUACAGUUUUCAGCUCCUCAGUAGUGACAAAGCCAUACCCAUCAUUGUCGAUUCGAUCAACAAUCUUCCCUAGCCUCUCCUUGCUCUCGUCCGGGGUGAGCUCGUCGAAGUUCUUGGAGUCCUCCUUGCCCAGGAAGGCCUCGUGGUCGUACUGGAAGCUCUGGUUGUCCUCAGGGGGCCGCUCGCCCAGCUCCGAGUCGGGCCGCACCACGCGCUCUUUGCGCACCGUGGGCUUGGCCCGCAGAACCCGCGGCGCCAGCACCAGCGCCAGCAGCAGCCCCAGGGCUAACCCCAGGCGGCCACCGCGCGCCAUCGUCCCGAGGAGAGGGCGGCCGGGAGGGAGACGCUGAGCGAGCGACAACAGCGGCAGCUCGGGAAUGGGGGCUCGGAGCGCGGCGGCCAAGUUUUAUGUUAUGUAUAUUUUACAAGUAAAAAAAUUUUUUCACCUCAGCCUGAACUGAACACUAGCUGACAGACGUUUUGAUUUCUUUGACCAUCACGGAAUCGUGGCCAAGCGCGGUGGCUCACAUCUGUAAUCCCAACACUUUGGGAGGUCAAGAUGGGCGGAUUGCUUGAAUCCAGGUGUUUGAGAUCAGCCUGGGCAACAUGACAAAACCCUGUUUCUAGUAAAAAUACAAAAAUUAACCAGGCUCAAGCCAUGACCAUGCACCAUUGCACUCCAGCCUAGGCGACAGAGCAGGACCCUGUCUC
rnacentral:lncRNA from 1 species